AGAGUUUGAUCCUGGCUCAGGAUGAACGCUGGCGGCGUGCCUAAUACAUGCAAGUCGAACGCGAGCACUUGUGCUCGAGUGGCGAACGGGUGAGUAAUACAUAAGUAACCUGCCCUAGACAGGGGGAUAACUAUUGGAAACGAUAGCUAAGACCGCAUAGGUACGGACACUGCAUGGUGACCGUAUUAAAAGUGCCUCAAAGCACUGGUAGAGGAUGGACUUAUGGCGCAUUAGCUGGUUGGCGGGGUAACGGCCCACCAAGGCGACGAUGCGUAGCCGACCUGAGAGGGUGACCGGCCACACUGGGACUGAGACACGGCCCAGACUCCUACGGGAGGCAGCAGUAGGGAAUUUUCGGCAAUGGGGGAAACCCUGACCGAGCAACGCCGCGUGAAGGAAGAAGGUUUUCGGAUUGUAAACUUCUGUUAUAAAGGAAGAACGGCGGCUACAGGAAAUGGUAGCCGAGUGACGGUACUUUAUUAGAAAGCCACGGCUAACUACGUGCCAGCAGCCGCGGUAAUACGUAGGUGGCAAGCGUUAUCCGGAAUUAUUGGGCGUAAAGAGGGAGCAGGCGGCAGCAAGGGUCUGUGGUGAAAGCCUGAAGCUUAACUUCAGUAAGCCAUAGAAACCAGGCAGCUAGAGUGCAGGAGAGGAUCGUGGAAUUCCAUGUGUAGCGGUGAAAUGCGUAGAUAUAUGGAGGAACACCAGUGGCGAAGGCGACGAUCUGGCCUGCAACUGACGCUCAGUCCCGAAAGCGUGGGGAGCAAAUAGGAUUAGAUACCCUAGUAGUCCACGCCGUAAACGAUGAGUACUAAGUGUUGGAUGUCAAAGUUCAGUGCUGCAGUUAACGCAAUAAGUACUCCGCCUGAGUAGUACGUUCGCAAGAAUGAAACUCAAAGGAAUUGACGGGGGCCCGCACAAGCGGUGGAGCAUGUGGUUUAAUUCGAAGCAACGCGAAGAACCUUACCAGGUCUUGACAUCCCGAUGAAAAACCCGUAACGGGGUUCCCUCUUCGGAGCAUCGGAGACAGGUGGUGCAUGGUUGUCGUCAGCUCGUGUCGUGAGAUGUUGGGUUAAGUCCCGCAACGAGCGCAACCCUUAUCGUUAGUUACCAUCAUUAAGUUGGGGACUCUAGCGAGACUGCCAGUGACAAGCUGGAGGAAGGCGGGGAUGACGUCAAAUCAUCAUGCCCCUUAUGACCUGGGCUACACACGUGCUACAAUGGAUGGUGCAGAGGGAAGCGAAGCCGCGAGGUGAAGCAAAACCCAUAAAACCAUUCUCAGUUCGGAUUGUAGUCUGCAACUCGACUACAUGAAGUUGGAAUCGCUAGUAAUCGCGAAUCAGCAUGUCGCGGUGAAUACGUUCUCGGGCCUUGUACACACCGCCCGUCACACCACGAGAGUUGAUAACACCCGAAGCCGGUGGCCUAACCGCAAGGAAGGAGCUGUCUAAGGUGGGAUUGAUGAUUGGGGUGAAGUCGUAACAAGGUAUCCCUACGGGAACGUGGGGAUG
rnacentral:rRNA from 1 species